rnacentral:rRNA from 1 species
UACGUAGGGGGCAAGCGUUGUCCGGAUUUAUUGGGCGUAAAGAGCGUGUAGGCGGCCGUACGGGUCAGCUGUGAAAACUCGAGGCUCAACCUCGAGACGUCGGUUGAAACCGUACGGCUAGAGUCCGGAAGAGGAGAGUGGAAUUCCCGGUGUAGCGGUGAAAUGCGCAGAUAUCGGGAAGAACACCCGUGGCGAAGGCGGCUCUCUGGGACGGUACUGACGCUGAGACGCGAAAGCGUGGGGAGCGAACAGG